GACGAACGCUGGCGGCGUGCUUAACACAUGCAGGUCGAACGGAAAGGCCCUGCUUUUGUGGGGUGCUCGAGUGGCGAACGGGUGAGUAACACGUGAGUAACCUGCCCUUGACUUUGGGAUAACUUCAGGAAACUGGGGCUAAUACCGGAUAGGAGCUCCUGCUGCAUGGUGGGGGUUGGAAAGUUUCGGCGGUUGGGGAUGGACUCGCGGCUUAUCAGCUUGUUGGUGGGGUAGUGGCUUACCAAGGCUUUGACGGGUAGCCGGCCUGAGAGGGUGACCGGCCACAUUGGGACUGAGAUACGGCCCAGACUCCUACGGGAGGCAGCAGUGGGGAAUAUUGCACAAUGGGCGGAAGCCUGAUGCAGCAACGCCGCGUGCGGGAUGACGGCCUUCGGGUUGUAAACCGCUUUCGCCUGUGACGAAGCGUGAGUGACGGUAAUGGGUAAAGAAGCACCGGCUAACUACGUGC
rnacentral:rRNA from 1 species